rnacentral:rRNA from 1 species
GAUGAACGCUGGCGGCGUGCCUAAUACAUGCAAGUCGAGCGAACGGACGAGAAGCUUGCUUCUCUGAUGUUAGCGGCGGACGGGUGAGUAACACGUGGAUAACCUACCUAUAAGACUGGGAUAACUUCGGGAAACCGGAGCUAAUACCGGAUAAUAUUUUGAACCGCAUGGUUCAAAAGUGAAAGACGGUCUUGCUGUCACUUAUAGAUGGUUCCGCGCUGCAUUAGCUAGUUGGUAAGGUAACGGCUUACCAAGGCAACGAUGCAUAGCCGACCUGAGAGGGUGAUCGGCCACACUGGAACUGAGACACGGUCCAGACACCGACGGGAGGCAGCAGUAGGGAAUCUUCCGCAAUGGGCGAAAGCCUGACGGAGCAACGCCGCGUGAGUGAUGAAGGUCUUCGGAUCGUAAAACUCUGUUAUUAGGGAAGAACAUAUGUGUAAGUAACUGUGCACAUCUUGACGGUACCUAAUCAGAAAGCCACGGCUAACUACGUG